UACGGAGGGAGCCUAGCGUUAUUCGGAAUUACUGGGCGUAAAGCGCACGUAGGCGGCUUUGUAAGUAAGAGGUGAAAGCCCCAGAGCUCAACUCUGGAAUUGCCUUUUAGACUGCAUCGCUUGAAUCAUGGAGAGGUCAGUGGAAUUCCGAGUGUAGAGGUGAAAUUCGUAGAUAUCGACAGGAACACCUGCGGCGAAAGCGGCCUUCUGG
rnacentral:rRNA from 1 species